rnacentral:lncRNA from 1 species
AUUGUAAAGGUGUGAGUUCGCAUCGAAUGCAAAAUUGCUGUCGAAUAAGACUGUGUUAUGUGUGCAGAGUGUUUGGAUCCUACUGACUUCUAAAAUCAUAGCGUUGUUCACAUGUUAGUGAGGAUAAAAUUUCAGUAGGGAGCUUUUUAACGACGUCUCGUACAGAGUCUCAAUUUGUUGUCGUGUAUUAAUUUUAUCUCUAUUUAAUAGUUUGUUGGAUGUUUUUAAAUACUAAAUUGAAAAAAAAAAUCUUAGAGAAAAAUAUUAUAACUCUUGGAUAGAGAUAAAAGUGACACGUAUCGACAGAUUAGAGCUUUUUAACAAAACAUCGUUAGAGAGCUUAAUAAAUGAAUGUAUGAAGCUUAAUUGAAUUAUGUUUCCUUUUGAAUCAACAGCAUAACACUCUAAAAACUAUACAAUAAUUCAUUUGAUUUAAGCUGUUUGAUAAUUUUCUGGAUAGAAAAUUUGGAUGCAUUUAUAUUAUUAAAUUUAGUUAAAUACAAUUCAAUUAAAAAGUAUCUAAACUUUAUAGCAAAAAAGUCAUCAAAUAACUAAAAUUUUAAAAAAUUAAGACGUUAGAUAAUAAAAUGAAAAAUUUCAAAAUUAAGAUAAAUAAAAUAAUUAAUAUAUUAAAAAUUUAAAAAUAAAUCAUAGUUAAGAUAAGAUCCAAACAUUUUUACCUAAAAUAAAAAAAAUAAUUAAUAUAUUAAAAAUCUUGUUGGAAGUUUGAGAACCAAAAAUAUUGUUUAUUUUCAUAUUAUGUUGCGCAAAUCAUAAUGAGUCAAUUAUAAUAUAUUUUUUACUACAAUAUCAAAGAACAGAAAAAUAUAUUUUUAUUUGUACAUUAUAUUAUUCGUACUCCAUCUCAU